rnacentral:lncRNA from 1 species
UAGCCAGGUGGAAAGUUUAGACAAUAGCUCGAAUUCUGUUGAGCAGUGGUCUUCCCAAUAUGGCGUUGUAAGCCAUUGGCAUACGGACAACUUCAAAGGUAGUGAUUUGCGUCACCUGUUUACCUUCAGCCCCCAAUGUUAAGGGUAACCCGACGAUACCUUCUGGGGCGAUGACCCCACCUCCAAAUCCUUGGAGGGGUGUUUUGACUGGCUUGAGUUGCUCUGAUAAGAUCCCCAUUUGAACAAAGGCUUCAUGAGACAGUACGUUUGUUGCGCUUCCGUUAUCUACCAGAAUUCUCUUGAUUUCAAAGUUGGCGAUGAUGGCCGAUAUGACAAGGGCGUCAUCAUGAGGGAACGCUAUGCCUUCCAAUCAUCCGUUCCAAAAGUGAUGUCCUCUGUAUAGCCAAGAUCUGGUCUCGAGAUGAUUGGAAGCUGCCUGGCAUACUAUUUACGCCCGCUGCUAGAAUCUCCUCCCGAGGCUGUUUCUCCGACAAUGAUAUUGAUAGUGCCUGCAGUUGGUUGCUUGUUUCCCCGAUCUUCUGGGCCUUUGCCUCCGUUCUGAUUAUUCCUUGGGCGCUUGUCAUUGCUAAUGUAAGAGCUCAGAAAUCCCCUUUUUAUAAGAGCUUCGAUUUCUCGCUUUAAGGUCAGACAGUCUUUCGUUGUAUGCCCGUGAUCUAUAUGAAAAUCACAAUAUUUACUCUUGUCACGAGUAUCGGGGAGGCCACUUCAAUUCCCUAGAGUCCUUGAUUUCCAUCAGGAUGUUGGACCUUGAAGUGUUCAAAUGGGUAAAAGACGUUGAAGGAGGAUCCUUCCUUAGUUUGACCCUAGGUGUCUCUUGUCUCAAGCUGGACUCAUGCGGUUUUUUCUGAUCUAACCUUCCUGAUGACGUCACUUCUCUUUUUGGGGUCAUGGUUUCUUCUAUAUUGAUGUACUUCCCAGCCCGUGUGAGUAGCUCGGUAAUUGACUUCGACGGGGUCUUAGACAAGGACAUCUUGAAUGCUUCACACUUAAUGGUGUAUGUCAGAGCUGAGACUGCAGCUAUGAUAUGUAGAUCGGGGAUCUGAAGCCUUUCUUUAUUGAACCUGGUCAUGAAACUGCGCAGUGUUUCAUUGGGUCCUUGACGCGUCUGCAUGAGUGAUGCAACUGUCUUUCUGAUUCGCUUGCUGUUCGCAAAGAAUGUGGAGAACUUAUCGGCCAAAUCUGAGAAGGAGGUGAUGGAGUUCGAUUCCAAUGUGGAAAACUAAUCUCUAGCUGCGUUUGUGAGGGUUUGGGGGAAUGCCUUGUACAUUACUGCAUCAGGUGCAACCUGUAAGUUCAUGAUAUCUGUGUACAUAUUGAGAUGAUUGAUGGGGUCGAUUGUCCCAUCAUACUCCUUUAUCCGCAGAUACUUGAACCUAUCGGGAAGGGGACCUUUGGAGUGAAUGGUGUAUUGGGGGUGAACCCUGUUGCUGCCCGAGUAUUUUGUUGCAUACCCGCUGCUAUCCUUUCUUGAAUAGUUCUAGCAAGUUCGGCAGAGUCCAUUGUAACGGACCUUGAACCUGAUGCCACUUGUGGUACACCUGAAGUUCCAACCCCACCGUCAUCAUGGGCUGCAUGACGGACUCGAGCUCGAGCAUCUGCCAUGAAGCCACCUUCAGGUGUUGGGGUAUGCGACAGGUGCGAAUUUCUCUGGCUUAACAAUUGGGUUAAUGCAGCCACCUGCUGAAGAAGUUCCUCAAAAGCUCCGGCAGAAACAACAGCUUGAAGAGGUGCUGGCAUCUCCAACAACUCUUCUUGAGGGAUAUGGCGUUCCUCAGGAGGAGGAGGGUUAUCCGGGACGGAUGAGCUUGUUGGAGAAAGACCUGAACGUGUAUUGACCAUGGCUUUUGGUAGCGAGUUCUCACAGAAGGCGCUAAUGAUGCUACCAAAAAAUAUUACCUGAAAGAUCUCGAAUUUGAUGAUCGAACUUUGCUUUGAUGAACACGAACGGUCUUUGAAUACCUGCAACAAAGGCAAUGAGGUGUGUGUUCGUCGUCCCUCCGAUGCUUAAGUCAGAUAGGGAAUUUAGUGCGUGAAGCUAUAAGCUGAAGAUAAUGAAAAACGUACAUCAAGAAUGAGCACAAGUUGUGUAUUUAUAGGUGUUAAUGGUGGAGUCCUAGAAGGACUUAUUCUGUCACGAUCCUUAUCCUCAAAGGAAAAGGAGUUAGUGUUUUACCUUAAGUAUUCAAAUCACUGUUUGAAUCAAAGAAGGAGUCUAACAAGGUAGGGAUUGUGGUCAAAGUAGGAUUAGUGUUCCCAUAGGUCAUAUAGAAAGGCUGACGAGUCAACAUACAUACUCCCGACCUCAAAUGUCCGACCUUGUUUUGGUGUUUUUAGGGAGUACUGAGAUCGGGGUUUAUGGUGUGAUCAGGGUUCAUGGGUCGAGUUCGGGAUUGACAAGAUCUUAGAUCAUCAAUGUGCAAUCUGAAGAAGCUAAAG